UCUGAAUUGACUACUCAAAGGUCGGGGUUUGAACCCCAGUUCUGCUACCUAUCUGCUGUGUGAUCUUGGCAUUAUUCACAAUAGCCAAGUGUCCAUCAAAGGAUGAAUGGAUAAAGAAGAUGUGGUUAUACAAUGUAAUAUCAUUCAGCCACGACAAAGAAGGAAAUCCUGCCAUUUGCACAACAUGGAUGGACUUUGAGGGUAUUAUGCUAAGAAAGUGGAUUAGAACUCAGACUUCACAAGAAGAAGAGGAGAGACAAAUCUGAAUGGCUAAAACCUAUACCUCAGUCAAUGCCUUCCUUGUAAAAUUUCCAGUGGCCGCACUAUUCACAGUUUCAAAGAGUUCUGUUGUACAAACUUAGACAUGGGGAAGAUACUGUGCUGCGGAAAAUGUCAGAUGACCCCAAAAUGGCUUUAGUGAAGACAAUGAUACUAGUCAUAAAAAUGCAUGUAAAAAGAUUAAAUAAAAUUGUUUUAU